GUCUGAUGCCCAGCUGACAUCUGGAGGACAGGAGUGCAGUGUGAAGAGGUGAAGGCAGGGAAACAAGUGGCCCGCCCGGGGCCUCGAGGCUGGGCUAGCAAAGCUGAGAAUAUCAGUCGCCCAUUCUCCCCUGGUCACCAGCCCUGAUUUGUCCUUGGAGCUUCAAAUAGUGUCUUUGAGAAGUGAUGCUGACAUCACCAUAGUUAGCGUUUGCUGAGAGCCAGACUCCGUGCUGGGGGACCAGGGUGGGGAGAGUGAUAAUUUGCAGACCAGUAUAUGAAAGAGCAUCUCACCUCAACACGGCAUUUACGGAAGGCCCAGGGAGUCAGAGCGGGUGGUGGGAGCCCAGGCCCCUGGGCAUCAGGCCAGGCUUCCCAAUGGGACGUUGAGACCUUGCAGGACUCGUGAAAACCUCGAAGCUGCCAUGACCUGCAAGAAUGCAACAAUGGUGGAAUUGCAGUGCUGCAAAGACAGGACUCAGUGCCAAUUCACAGAGGAGGAAAUGGAGGCUCAGAGAAUUAAUCAUCCACCUGAGCUCACACAACAGGGACUCAAAGCCUCACCAAGACUCCAAGCAUCGCUCUGGAGACUAUCAGACUCCAGGGGCCCAGCACAGAGCCAGGUCUGAACCAAGUCCUCUCGGCUGGAACCCCUGUUCUGCCCAGUUCAGGCAUCAGGUAGGUACCACGAGACUUGAAAUACCAGGAAGAGGAACGGGAAGCUGGCUGACAUCAGGUUUUCCGAGGGGCUUGUGGGUUUCUGUUAUCCCCCACUUUGAAAAGCCUGAUUGGGUUCAGGGUCAGAACCACCCUUUGCUCUAAGAGCAUUAAGCUGCUUCAGAGAAAAUGGCUUUGUUGGGUCUUUGGAAACCGUUCCUGAGAAAUGAUGGCGGCAGAUAAUGGACGUUCAGCAAACCUGUCUCUGACGCGCUGCUGGCUUUGGACGUGGUCCGAGAACUAGUGUGCUGUUGGUCUCCGGUUCCAGUCCCAGCUGGUCCUGGCUGCCCUGGGAAGAGUCAUCAUCCUGUGAGACUAACAACAACAACAGGGGAGCCUUCGCACGGCUCUGCAUGUGAUCGAGACCCACCACGUGCCAGGCCGCUGGGGCAUCUGUCCGCUGCCCCAUGAGGUUUGUCCUUAAAAUCAGAAGAGUCCUCCUCCUUCUCCUCAAAGUUUUCCUGUUUGGGGACUUGGGGGAAGGCUGACCAGGGUGUGGAGAGUCUGAGACCCAGCCGCAGGGUGCUAAUUGAAGGCAGGGCCUGAAGAAGGUAAGUUGGUAGCAAGAUAAAGGCGUAUGAGUGGAGCCUGCAGUUAUUUUCAAGGCUCUGCGGCUAUAAAUGAAGCAAUGACAGCACUGCUAACAAACAAUCAUGCUGUGGUGCUGGAUGCUGAGUUAAAGCUUUCCUGUGACACCUCAUUUGAACCCCAUAACCACUCUCUGCAGUGACUCUUACUAGCCCCACUUUACAGAUAAGGAAAC
rnacentral:lncRNA from 1 species